GAUGAACGCUGGCGGCGUGCCUAAUACAUGCAAGUCGAGCGAACGGACGAGAAGCUUGUUUCUUUGAUGAUAGCGGAGGAGGGGUGAGUAACACGAGGAUAACCUACCUAUAAGACUGGGAAAACUUCGGGAAACGGGAGAUAACACCGGAUAAUAUUUUGAAUCGCAGGGUUCAUAAGAGAAAGACGGCCUUGGUGUAACGAAUAGAUGGAUCCGCGCUGCAUUAUCUAGUAGGUAAGGUAACGGCUUACCAAGGCAACGAUGCAUUGCCGACCCGAGAGUCUGAUCGCCCACACUGGAACUAAGCCACGGUCCUGACCCCUACGGUAGGCCGCAGUCGGCAAUCUUCCGCAACAGGCGAAAGCCUUACGCAGCAACGCCACGUGUGUCAUGAAGCUCUUCGGCUCGUAAAACUCUGUUAUUAGGUAUAAACAUAUUUGUAAGUAACUGUACACAUCUUGACGGUACCGAGUCAGAAAGCCACGGCUAACUACGUG
rnacentral:rRNA from 1 species